rnacentral:rRNA from 1 species
CGCGUAGGCGGAUCUCCAAGUCCGGGGUGAAAGCUUUCGGCUUAACCGGAAAAGUGCCUUGGAUACUGGAGAUCUUGAGGGAGGUAGGGGCAGCUGGAACUUCCGGUGGAGCGGUGAAAUGCGUUGAUAUCGGAAGGAACGCCGGUGGCGAAAGCGAGCUGCUGGAUCUCUACUGACGCUGAGGCGCGAAAGCCAGGGGAGCGAACGGGAUUAGAUACCCCGGUAGUCCUGGCCCUAAACGAUGGGUACUGGGUAGGGGACUGGACAUGGGUUCCCUGCCGCAGCGAAAGUGGUAAGUACCCCGCCUGGGGAGUAUGGUCGCAAGGCUGAA